CGGCAGCGCGGGAGCAAUCCUGGCGGCGAGUGGCGAACGGGUGAGUAAUACAUCGGAACGUGCCCAAUCGUGGGGGAUAACGCAGCGAAAGCUGUGCUAAUACCGCAUACGAUCUACGGAUGAAAGCAGGGGAUCGCAAGACCUUGCGCGAAUGGAGCGGCCGAUGGCAGAUUAGGUAGUUGGUGGGGUAAAGGCUCACCAAGCCUUCGAUCUGUAGCUGGUCUGAGAGGACGACCAGCCACACUGGGACUGAGACACGGCCCAGACUCCUACGGGAGGCAGCAGUGGGGAAUUUUGGACAAUGGGCGAAAGCCUGAUCCAGCCAUGCCGCGUGCAGGAUGAAGGCCUUCGGGUUGUAAACUGCUUUUGUACGGAACGAAACGGCUCUUUCUAAUAAAGAGGGCUAAUGACGGUACCGUAAGAAUAAGCACCGGCUAACUACGUGCCAGCAGCCGCGGUAAUACGUAGGGUGCAAGCGUUAAUCGGAAUUACUGGGCGUAAAGCGUGCGCAGGCGGUAAUGUAAGACAGUUGUGAAAUCCCCGGGCUCAACCUGGGAACUGCAUCUGUGACUGCAUUGCUGGAGUACGGCAGAGGGGGAUGGAAUUCCGCGUGUAGCAGUGAAAUGCGUAGAUA
rnacentral:rRNA from 1 species